GGAAGCUGUUCCAAUGGCCUCAGAAGGGCAGAGUGAGGAUGCAGCACAUCCAGCUGAGCCCCCUGCAGCUCCUGUGCAGAGUGAGAGACCAUUCCAGUGGGGAUCCAUACUCGCUGCAGUGAAAGACCAGCUCCCAUCUCUGGACUCCGAGUCCUCCACAUCUGACUGUGAGAGUGAUGAGGAACUUUUCAUCUUCCAGCGGGAGCUGCCCAACUUAAUUCCUGACCUUUCAGAAGAACUGAUGAUGUUUUCCCUGGAAGACUCCAACGUGCAGCAAAUCCAGGAAACAGAAAGACAACCAUGGGAAAUCUGGAAUGGAGACCUGGAAAGUUUUGGCUUUCAGGAAGAAACAGAUGGUACCCAAAUCUUUGCAAAAGAAGAUGUACAAAUGAUUAAAGAUGAGACUUGCAAUCUUGCCAGGCAGACUGAAGAAAUGCCAAACCAAAAGGGAGCUGUUCUUGAAGAGUCUCUUGCAGAUUCCACAGAUCACCUUGAAGAGAAAGAACUGGGCAGGAGACAGGCCAAGGAUACAGCAUUGUCUGUGGAAGGGCUGUACAGUAAAAAAGAGAGAAAAAAGCUGAUAAAGACAAAGAUACUCUCCAAAACCAUUCUGGAGCCAUCCCCAGGCCACCCUGAGCAGGAUGUCAAACCUCCCUCCUGUGGUAUCAACAACAGUCUAGAAAGAAUUGCAAAGGGAGAGACCUCCUCAGAUGAGCAUCUUGGAGAAGUGACCCAUUUGUCACUGCAGAAUAUUGAGAAAUGGGAUCUAGACAAGAAUCUUGAGGAGCUGGAGCAGCAGAGAGAUAACACUCAUGCAGAAGUUGCUUUCUUCUCAGCAGAUUGUGAGACCUUCAGGAGGAACUGUGAGCUCCUGAAAGAGCUGGAAGAGCUGUGUGCCAGGCAGUCCAGGACAGUGUCUCCUCUCUGCAGGUGGCUGCCAGCCAAGCCCUACUCCUUUCAAGAAGAGCAGGACAAUAAGGAUGUUGCCUUGCCAUCAUCCUGUCUAAGUUCUCUGAGAAGGAACAUUAGAUUACAGAGCCUGCCAGAGCCUGCAACUGUGUACUUAGACUUAAGAGAUGAUGAACCACAGAACUCGGUGACAUUCCUUGAGGAAGAACAAAGGUAUAGCCUGGAUUUAUACCACUUUAUUGGUAGUGAGAAAUAAGUAACAAAAAGUGGGAAACUGAAACCUCCUCUCUGCAUUGCAUGGUUGUGAAAUGUAACUUUAAAACUGGUCUUUUCUUCCACACUCUAUCAUCAAAAGAAACCUUGUAGUUAAUAAACAGCU
rnacentral:lncRNA from 1 species